rnacentral:rRNA from 1 species
GACGAACGCUGGCGGCGUGCCUAAUACAUGCAAGUCGAACGCAGUGGGGACGGGUGCGUAACACGUGGGUAACCUCCCAUCAGAGGGGAUAACACUUGGAAACAGGUGCUAAACCGAUACUGAUGGAUGGACCCGCGGUGCAUUAGCUAGUUGGUGAGGUAACGGCUCACCAAGGCCACGAUGCAUAGCCGACCGGAGAGGAGGAUCGGCCACACUGGGACUGAGACACGGCCCAGACUCCUACGGGAGGCAGCAGUAGGGAAGAUUCGGCAAUGGACGAAAGUCUGACCGAGCAAGGACGGGUGAGUGAAGAAGGUUUUCGGGUCGUAAAACACUGUUGUUGGGGAAGCGGGAUCGAACCAGAAAGCCACGGCUAACUACGUGCCAGCAGCCGCGGUAAUAC